GAACUGCGAUACGUAAUGCGAAUUGCAGAAUUCAGUGAAUCAUCAAAUCUUUGAACGCAAAUUGCGCUUUUGGGAUAUGCCCGGAAGCACGCCUCUUUGAGUAUCGAUUACACCUCUCAAGCACCGCUUUGCUGGUGUUUGGAUAAUGAGUGUUUGUCUCGAGCCUCGGUUCGAGUCACUCUAAAAGCAUUCUUGAGCAAAGAAUGACUGACAGCGAGCUUCACCGCUCGUCUUGCAGCCUUUGGCUUCUGAGCCCAUUCUGCUCUAGGACUUCAAACAUGGACAAACAUCCAAUGCUUUGUGAGUUCGGAGAAGGUGGAUUUCUGGUCAUAGGUGACAUAUUGUCGGUUUGUUCGCUCACACUACUUUCGAUUAACGUUUUGAAUUAGAUCUCAAAUGA
rnacentral:misc_RNA from 1 species